rnacentral:rRNA from 1 species
UACAGAGGUCUCAAGCGUUGUUCGGAUUCAUUGGGCGUAAAGAGCUCGUAGGCGGUUUGUCGCGUCUGCCGUGAAAGUCCGGGCUCAACUCCGGAUCUGCGGUGGGUACGGGCAGACUAGAGUGAUGUAGGGGAGACUGGAAUUCCUGGUGUAGCGGUGAAAUGCGCAGAUAUCAGGAGGAACACCGAUGGCGAAGGCAGGUCUCUGGGCAUUAACUGACGCUGAGGAGCGAAAGCAUGGGGAGCGAACAGG